rnacentral:lncRNA from 1 species
GCCCCUAUAAAAUAAUACUCAAACUCCUAAAAUCAAAUAGACAUGGACCUAGACCUAGACCAAAAGGAGAACAACAGUCUCAUAAAAACGAAAGAGAAGUCAUCUUUAUAUGAUUUAUCAAUCUUUUGUGCAUGAAAGAAUAAGUCUUCCGCAAGCCAGCAGUUCUAAAGCACACCAGUUGCCUUUCAUUUCCCAAAUACUUCAUUCUCGCAUCAAAUUUGGUUAACCAGAAAUUUCAUGGCGUGUUCAAUUUAUCGUGGUAUUUGGGAAAUGAAAAUUUUCAUUCGAAUUACCAUCAAAUGCAUCGGUUAUCUACAGCAAUCGGAAUCCCAGGACUAAACUACAGACCAAUUCUUUCUCGAUUUGGUCUUCAAUUCCAAAUACGGAAUUCACAUUUUGAUUGCUUUAGGUAUUUCAGAUUCUCUCGCGAUACAUUCACACACAAAUGGAGGGUAGCAACAGUGAGAGAACCAGAGUAAGAGGGAGCGGACAAAUUUUAGUAUAAAAACCCAAAUGAACAGUAGCUUCGAGUAUGGGUUUUGAUUUUUCCGGCCUCGAUUCGAGGUUCUGGUUCGCAAUUUUUGUAUUUUAGUCCAAGGAUUGUUACUUUGUUUAGCCCGAUUGAUUGGUAAAUUUCAGCUUUGUUCACCAGUAAAAGGUUCAUUUCUUAAUUUUCAAUCGCAUUUCAUUGUAUUAUGAUAGUUUGGUGCAUGUGUCGGUUGAUUUGUGAUUCUACGUUAUUCGUGUGUCAUGUCUUAGUUUUCAUUUAAAUUUUUUUAAUUAGUUUUCAUUUCAAUUGUGAUGUAUGUAGUCUUGGUUCUUGAAUAAAUACUUUUAAUUGAGUAGAUGGAAAAAUUAGAGUUGUUUCUUUUUUGACAGGAAUAAGAGUAGGCCAUAAGAUGAGUUUUGGACCAUAAGGAAUCUGGCUAAGUAAUAUAUCAUGUUAGCUAGCCUUUUUUCCCUAAUAAUAUCUUGUUCAUAAAUUUGGCCUCACAACAAUCUCAGAUUAGCUUUUAGGAAAAUAAACAAUUGAUGAACAUUGUAGCUGACUUUAGGCACGGCUUAAUAAAUUGUGAUUGUCUAUACAUUCGCGUGACAUAAUUACGAUCCUUAAAUAAAAUAGGGGUAUGCAUUCCACAACUUCGACCAAAAUUUCUUAAUAAUAAUAAAGCGUGAUUAUUUAUGAACACGUACGUAUGGCAUAUUCAUGACGCGCUAAACGAAAUGAGUACACAUACACGUGACUCAUUUUUUAAGAUAACUCCUUAAUUACUAAUAAUCAAGUAUUUAGAAGCGGUUAAAAGGGGUAUAUGCACAUAGUUUUAAGAAUAAGUUAUUAAAAUGAUUCAUUAAGCCAGUUAUGAUCAAAGUGACAGUGCUAAAACUAUGGAACUAGGGAAUGCCUAACAUCUUCUCCCGGGUUAACAGAAUUCUUUACCCGAAUUUCUGUGUUCGCAGACCAUAAAUAAGAGUCAAACUUCCUCGAUUCGAGAUUUUAAAUUGGUGACUUGGGACACCAUAAAUUAUCCCACGUGGCGACUCUGAAUCUGAAUAAAUAAUUCCGUUUUGGUUAUUGUCACUUUAAUUGGAAAACUCCCUUACCCCCCUCGGGUAAAAAGGAGGUGUGACAUCGGGCAUGCAUAUGAGUUUUUGAUUCAUGUCGUAGCCUUCAUUUGUACUUACCAUUUAGUUUUAUCCUGAUUUUGUAAGUAACAGAGAUAUAUGACUCUGUAUUGUGGUUAUGUGCCUGAAAACCAUGUAAAAAUAUAAGUUAUUUGUGUGUCUUAAUCCUUGUAUCCAUUUGAUAAUAUCAUGUCAUUUUCACUUGCUUAUUAUACUGCUAAUGAAUAUAAGCGGCGAUCGCUCGUUACUACUUCUUCGCGGCUAUAUUUGAUACUUAUUAAGUAACGUGAUUUUGUACUCAUAUUAUACUUCUACAAAUUUUAUGCAGAUUUUGAGGCUGAUACUAGUAUACUCAUCCAACUGCUUAGUGACUUACAUUUGGAAACUUCGCAGU